GUUCAGUAGGUAUGAUAUUGUCCUGUAGGUAUGAUAUUGUCCUGUAGGUAUGAUAUUGUCCUGUCAGUACAGUCCUGUAGGUAUGAUAUUGUCCUGUAGGUAUGAUAUUGUCCUGUCAGUACAGUCCUGUAGUUAUGAUAUUGUCCUGUCGGUAUGAUAUUGUCCAGUCAGUACAGUCCUGUAAGUAUGAUAUUGUCCUGUAGGUAUGAUAUUGUCCUGUCAGUACAGUCCUGUAGUUAUGAUAUUGUCCUGUCGGUAUGAUAUUGUCCAGUCAGUACAGUCCUGUAAGUAUGAUAUUGUCCUGUCAGUACAGUCCUGUAGGUAUGAUAUUGUCCUGUAGGCAUGAUAUUGUCCUGUCAGUACAGUCCUGUAGGUAUGAUAUUGUCCUGUCAGUACAGUCCUGUAGGUAUGAUAUUGUCC